rnacentral:snRNA from 1 species
GGAUAUGAGGGUGAUCUGGCUAUGACAUCUGUCACCCCCACUGAUCGCCAGGGUUGACUUGGCAGAUCUGGCUGGCUAGGUGCGUGUCCCCUUCCUCCCUCACCAUCCCAUGUGUUAUGCAUCCCUCCUGAAGCUGCAGACUGGGUCAAAGAGGAUGACCAUCCCCAAGAGAGUAGAACUCUUCAGUAAAGGGUACACCCAGUAGCUGUGCUACCCUGCUAGAACCUCGAAACAAAGAGCCAACUUCUCCUGCUAAAUGCCACGCUGGUUGCAUUCCAAU